CACCUCCUCUUUUCACACUAUCGAUGAACUUCGAUUCACGUAGUAUUGGCUUUUAAGUGACUUGACGAAUGCACGACUAUCCCGCAUUGACAGUUUCACUCCACACCAUAGGUGUCGCUACGUGUCAAAACCGACACACAUCGUAGAAGAAGAAUCAAUCCCGGAAGUGUAGUAGCCGAAGCUUUGCAGGACAACAACCUCUACUUUUACUUUUGUAUUCGUUGUAUAUUGUUUUAUUGUCGGUUGUGUCUUUCCUGCAUGUUGAGGCAACACAGAGACGAGUCACUUUAAAGUCUGCAUACUUUUACAAAUUCAGGAUGGAAAAGUUGAUCACUUGUUUCAAGAAAAAGCCAGAGGCUGUUGCCAGGUUGAUCUGCUUCCCCUGGGCAGGUGGAGGCUCCAUACAUUAUGCACGCUGGGGGAACGUCUUUAACAGCUCCAUAGAAGUGCUUUCUGUCAGACUUCCAGGACGUGAAAGUCGGGCCAAAGAACCUUUCUUUGAGAACAUGCAGCAAAUUGUGGAUGAGGUUCUUCAUUUGUUAUUGCCAGUGCUCAAAGAGAAGCCAUUUGCUCUAUUUGGCCACAGUUUUGGUGCUCAUACAAGCUAUGCUGUUGCAGAUGCUCUGAAGAAAGUGCACAAUAUUGAGCCAGUUCAUAUUUUCCUUUCUGGUGCACCUGCACCUUAUUCCGAGACUCGGAUCCAAACCACAAAGAGAAGUGACUUAUCAGACAAGGACUUUCUCAAGUGGCUGGCUUCGAUCGGGGGAACUCCGCCUGAGCUCCUGGCCAACCCCGAAGUUCUGCAACUGUUCCUUCCUGCGCUUAAAGCUGACCUACAUGUUGUCGAGAACUACAAGUGUAACACGCCAUUAAGUCCAUUCCUGUCCUGCCCAGUCUCAUGCUUUGACGGCAAAGAUGAUAUUCCUCAUGAUUUACAAGUUGGAAGGUGGUGAAGAUGUUGGUGGUGGUGGUGGCGGCGGAGUUACUGGUGGCUGGAGCUCUUCGUCGCUACUGUCUUCCCCGGCUGCUGCUUCAGCCUGCACGAUGGAGUCCGUGGAUUGCGACAGGCUUCGCAUGCUACUGGGCGUACACGGUAACCUCUCCCGGGCCCUCUCCGAGGGGGCUGCUAUGUUGCUGUCAGCCUCCGUCUCUGACAACCAUGGAGGAGCCAGCGUUGAUUCAGCCGGGUCCAUUUGCAUCAGGAAAGUUGGGUUCUCAUUUUCUGCCCCCAAAAAAAAAAAACGUAAAUAAUUUUCUCAAAUUUUCAAUCAGUGUUUGGAUUCUUCUAGGAGAAGCCGAUGGAUGGAAUCUACCUUCUGCUUUACGAAGGACUUUCAUGGACUUCGCUACCUGUUUCCUGCCUUUGUACAAGUGUUGCUGCAGCAGGUGGUGACUGAUGUCUUCCGUUUGCUUCGCACCCUUGAAAGACUGAUCGUGCAUUUCCAAGCUCACCGAAGGCCAAGGCUCUCGUCUACUCGGGUAAAAUGAUCAAAAAUGGCCACUCAAUUAUCUCGACCCGUUGAAAUGAUUGACUUACCCCAAAGAGGACACUGCGCCAUGAUUGUCCACCAUAAUGUCAGACAUCACUUCCGAGGAUUUUUGCGCAAACCUUUUCUCGAGUUCAAUCACUCCAGAUUGAUUCCGGAUCAGUCCCAAAGAACCGUUGCGUUCGCCCUGCAUCCAAUAAUAGCGUUUAGAACGAUUAAGAAGAUAUUCUACCGUGUGCGGUAGGUACUAACCUCGGCCACAUAACUUAUAGCAUCCUUGAGAUUGAGCCGAUGAAAAACUUUGAAAACGUAAUCUUGAUUCUUCCUCGCCGAGGGCUUCAUCAAAAUGGGCGCCACCCACUUGUUUUCAAAAUGAUUCCACCUGCGGAGUAAAUAACGCUUAGAGCACCAUUCAAAACCCGAAUUUAAAAGAAAAAAAAAUGAUGUCACAUACUUAUCCAUCAUGUAGUUGUGACCAAAUUGCCCGGCGAUAUCUUCAAUUGCAACAAGCAUGUGUUCGAAGACCUAAUUGAACAGCAGGAUUGUGUUUUAAUAGUGUAAAUGCAAUUUUUUUAAAAACCCUCACCUUAUUCUGCACCGUUUCGAUGAGCGUGUGCUCAGCAUCCGAAGCUUUCUUUACUUUCAGCCAAGCGACAAGAGGUUUCAGCGUCAGUCCCUGCAAAUUAAAUACUGAGCCACAUCAACCAAUCUAAAAUGCUCUUAAGAAAACAAAAACCUACCUGAAGGAUGACAGUGAAGUAAACUACAAUCAAAGUCGUGGAGACCAAUAGAUUUUUCUCCUUAAUCGUGUUUUUAUCCAGCAUCAUUGCCAGGCCAUAAGCAACUGCCCCUCGCAGGCCACCGUAGCUCAUAAUAAUCUGAUCAAUGAACUCCAAAGGAACCAGCCGGAAUUUGUUCAUGAUCCAGGUUAGGAAAAAAACACCUGUUGCACACAAACUUGUAAAUCAUUGUUUCCAUUUAACUCUCAAAUCUGAUCAAAUCUCACCGAUGAAGCGAUUCACAAAGAUGAAGAAGAGUGUGAGGAGGACAAAGCCCGUGUUCCACACCCAUAAAUCCUUAUCAAUGGCUAUGAUUCCCAGGAAAACAAAAAUGAUGGUUUCUGAUCCAUUGGCGAGCACCUUCAUGGCAUAUCUGACCGUAGUGACGGACCUUUCAUCCAUGUUUGCGUUGAUGUACUUUUUGCAGACCACGCCACAGCUGAAAACCCUAAGAACAUUUCAAAACGUUUGGCCAGUACAUUAAACAGUAAUCAGAUUGAAAGGACUCACGACAAGAUGGCGGAAAGGGACAACAUCUCAGCAGUCAGGUAGGAGAGGUACCCCACCACAAAUAUAAAACCCGGCUCGAUAAUCUGGAUGCUUCUUGUGUAUCUGGUCAGAAGCGAGAGCAGCAAACCAAAAACUACACCGAGGAGGGAGCCGCCAACUGCCACUAAAAAAAAAGACACUGGACAAAACAGGAAGGGAAAUCUCAAACGUUGUUUUGCUCCUUAAGACAAUCUCACUCCUUACCUAUUCCGCUGAGUAUAUCCAAAACAUCAAAGUAGGCCUUGUUGUGGGAAAUAUAGGCCUCAAUCAUAUUGAAGAGCAUCUAAAAAAAACCCAGCAAUUAAUAUAACAUUCAAUAGGUCCAAUUACAACGGCUAAUUUCCUUAUUUACUGUCAAUGAAGAGUUAGUAAACGGCUCCGCAUAUUCACCACUGUCACACCAUCAUUGACGAGUGACUCGCCCAACACCAGAAUGAAAAGGACCUCAUUGACGUGGACCUCCUCAAACACGGAUAAAACAGCCACCGGGUCCACUGCGGCAAUUACCGAGCUGAAUAAAAGAUAGUGAAGCAAGGCCAUGUCCAAAUUACCUUGAAAACAAAAGGAAGACAAAAGAUAUUUAAUAGUGGGAAGCUUUGACUUGAACCUUUAGCAUCUUCUUACCCAUGGCUCCUUCCUUCUGACAGCCCCAUAGGGUCAACCCCAAGCUGACAGUAUUCCAUAAGGUCCCAAUAAUGGCAUAGACCAGAAUGGUUCCUAUAUUUCGGAAGAACAGCUUAUUUGGCAAAAAAUAGCCGGCAUCCAGGACGAUUUGAGGAAGCAGGUAUAAGAAAAAUACGGUGGGGGUCAACUCGAAGAGGUGCACUAUGUCUGCCCACCAGAUGAUGAGACCCACGAUGAAGCCGAAGAUAAUGAGCAGAGCGCUUUCUGGGAUUAUAUAGGUCACAUGAUGAUUCGCCUCGAUCACUGUGGAGGAACAUGGAAUUUGAAAUUGAAGAUAAUAGGAUUGUUGGGGAAUAAAGAAUAUCAUAGAACAAAUAGUGUUUAUUAUAGACCAUCAGAGACAAAAAAAAAAGGCAAUAUUCUGGAAUUUUUACUUACCUAGUUUUGCCAAAAAGGCCACCAGUACCCCUACUGCAACUAUAUAAGGACCCUUCACAAGAUCCCACCUAAAGGACACAAUGUCUAUCCUGGUGCCAUUCCCACUGGUAUUUCGAUGCUUUGCUGUCUCAUCUUCAGCUAUCGGGGAACCAAGGACCACUAAAAUCAGCAAGACUGAGCAGAGGAGCCAAAUGUAUGCUAAUCCACAUGGAUGCAUUUGAUUCGUUCAAUACGGCAAGAAAAUUUGAAGGCACUCCCUUUGCCUUGAACUCCAGAGACAGUCAAUAAGUUCAAACUUUCUUUGGCUUUUGCCAAUUUCUCUCUUAUUACUUUAACUUACACCUCUCAUUUUCAUCUUUACUCCAUUAAUGGUGAUUGUUUCCCGUGGUCAGGCGAUGAAAUAAAUGUCGGAGAGUAGAUUCACGUUGUCCUUUAGACGCAAAAGGCACUUUAAUAUGCGGGUGAUGACGUAAUCGGCGUGACGUCACGUCCCGCUAGCCGUCCGAUAAUUUACGUUUGGCAUAAAUUUGAAGAUUGAAUAAGGCAAACAAGAUUAAAAAUUGCAGAGUCAGGGUUAUUUUUCGACUUUUUUUUAAUUUUUUAAAUUACGUUAGAAUUGUUCAUUUUAAUCGACUGGUCAUGAAUAAGUGCCCUCUGCCUCUUAGUGGUGGGAACGUGUAACUUGUUGACUGCUGUGUUUAUAAAUUAGGAAUAAUAAUAAUAACUUUCUUUUCAUUGCACCUUUGUUAGUGUAUAGAGAAAAUUGGAGGAAAUGGAUGUGUAAGAAGAAUGAUAAAUAAAUAAACUCCACAUUCUUUUUUCAUUUUAAUUUCAAAAAUCUACAUGAAACAGUCUAAUAUUUUACUUGGUCAAAAUAUUCUUAAGAGAAAUAUUAUAACAGCUGGUGACUAUCAUCCAAAUAUUUUGCCGUAUGGAUGAAAAAAAAAUACACGCUAUAUAGUUGUUUGGGUUGAAAGAUUAUUGAGAUAAAAAUAUCUUUAAUGCUACUCUGUAGCUUUCACAUCUGCAUUGAAUGGGUUAUAUUAAUAAAUAAAAAGCUGUACAUAUUGCAUCCCUUGAAAAAAAAUAAUAUUUGUGUGCAUUUUGCACCUGAUGCUAACACGUGUUUAGCAAAUGGUGAUGAUAAAUCUACAUGGGUCAAAGUGUCACCAGUACAAAGGUUCUAAAGGAGUUAAC